AACAGACAGUUUGGCAGCAGACCUGCAAUGGGACUUAUGCACGGCAGCAAUGUGAUUAAAAGGAGAAGUGAGAGCAGUGAGGUCCCAGAAUCAGAUCAAAGUGUAAUGUUACAGGAGAGCAGCUAAACUGAUGUUAAACGCAGUGCUGCAGAUAUUGCACAGGCUAAAUUCGGACAUUUAGAAAUCAUUGCGUUGGAAAGGAAGGAUGACUUCCUGGAACGGACUCGGUAACAAGUCUCGGUUCGUGUUCCACUGACUGCACACCAGAACAAUCUCGGACCUGCUGCCAACCCGUGACACUAAGAUGCAAAUUAAGAAGAAACUCCCCAGCCGUUUGAACCGAGCUUCAAGUCUGUAUUUCUCGCCUUGUCAGGCCCGGCCAUGCAAAACGUUCGGGGCCCAGCGCUGCUGAAACACCUGGACAUUUUCUAUGACUCAGGAAGUGAGAGUUACACAAUAGAGACACCAGCCGUUUCUCUUCUGGUGUUAGACAGUAUUCCACAAUGGAAGUACCAUUGUUAAUAUCUUCACAUUGAAGGAGGUGGAUAGCUCAUUAGCAUUUGGUCCCCAGUCGAGCGAUGUCAUAGUUCACGACCCGUUUUCGACAAACUUCCCUCAAUAGUCUCUCGGGUCGUUGUAAUAGCUGUGAGAUUAUGUAGCAGAAACCCUCAUUAAAAUCCCUAUUGAGGUGUGACAGGAACAGAGAGUAGUUUAAUCUGAUGAAGAGUUUGUGUCUCUUGCAGAAAUCUAGAUUAAUUCACGGAGCACUUUAUUCGAAUAAAGUUGAAGUAGAAAGUUUCUAGACCCUCGAUGUUUCACUUCCUCUCAGCGUUAUGAAGGUUCAUUGUAAAGAUUGCAGUUAUACGUGAAGUUGCUAUAAUCAUAUAACCGUCGCACCGAAAAGUUAGUAAGAAUAUUCUGGUACGUACAGUAAAGCGAUUUCAGAUCGAAAGAGAUGGAUAGUUUUAAAGAACUAUUUUUCAUCUUUCUGUAAGUAGAUGUCAAUAGGUGACUGUUGUUUGAAUAAUUGUUGAGGAGAGAUCUCUCGGAAUUGAUGUGCAGUACCUGAAGUGAGUCGCAGAUAGAGAGUUAACUAACCCUUGUAUCAGUCUGGGAAGGUUUUAUACAGUUAGUACAAUAAAAUCUCUGUGUAAAUAAAAAAAGUUCCUUAUUACAAAGUAGAUAUAGUAAAACCUAAGACUGUAAAAUAUAAGAAAGGGGGCUGCAAAAUUACUUUGUACAGGGGAUUGUUGCCCUAUAUAAGGGAUGAUGUUAUUUCACUUUUUGAAGCUAAUCAGUAUUUUUGUUUAAACAAAAAGUAAGAGCAGGUAUUUGGAGCCCUUAAAGCUUCUAACCUGCUCUUCAUUCUAUGAAUGGCUUGAAAGGUAUAAUAUUUUACUGUUUUAUUGAGGUCAUGUAAAGGUACACUCAGCAUUCAAAGGAAUAAAGUUAGGGAUACUAUUUCGGAAUGUGAAUCAUAGAGCAAGAGAAGCAUAGAUUAAAACUGAUGUCAAGAAAGACUAUAAAGGGAGUGAGGAAGCAUUUCUCUGGGCAAAAACUGAUCAGUGUUUGGAUGGGUGUCUGAACAAAACAGUCAAGAUGAAGGGAAGAAGCGAUGGAGGAAUGUGAAUUACUUCAAUAAUUCUGAAUAGAUGAGCUCACCACAGCUGGUUUGGUUCUCUCGUUAGUAUCUAUUUUGUGAUGGUGAAUAACUGAAAGGACUUAAAAUCAUGUUGCUGAGCUAUUAAUGAACGAUCUACAUUGAGUGACAUUGGGAAAUUGUGAUUUGCAGUGCGACAUUGCUUUGCUGCACUGUUCUGGAAAAUUUCAGACUACAGCAUUCAUGUAAAU